UAAAACAUGUGUUGUUGGGGACAUAAUUUAAUUUUUCACAGUCCAAUAAAUAUUAUUUCAUGUUUGAACUACAAAUCCAAAAUGCCCGUUCAAGUGACGUAUAGUAUGUUGUAGGUUGUUACCAACACCAUUGUCGCGGUUACCAAUGGCCAGAUAUCAGAGACUGGAUCAGUCCUACAAGGCUUUACUGAGUCACGAUGGAGCAUUCUCCAAGUUCCUGAAGACUUAUCUCAACGAACACUAGGAGGAUCUAGAGGCAGCAGGUUGUGAGGAUGAAGAAGUUUUGAAGAAAGACAUUCUCCAUAAACUGGUGUCAAUUCAGUCAGACAAUGAUCAUUUUGAGGAGAACUCUUUGACUGACAAACUGCUACGCAGGAGAAUCCUAGUUCUAAGCGAUGGAAGAAUCCUAGAACACGACUGGCCUCAGACCUUGUUGGCUUAUAGCAACUCUGCUUUUUAUGCCUCGGCCAUGGAUGCAGGGCUUGUGUGAACAGCUUUGUGAAUGAAGGUCUGGAACGAUCUCGUGACUCCAACAGAGAUGGACUCAACUGCUUCUGGUCCCUUGUGCCAUCAAAGACCGUGCCCCAGUCCUGAGGAUUUGUUAUGAGCUGACAGGGGCAGGCGCAGACAAAUGCAUUUGAUUGUCACAGCUAGCAGACGCUUCACUGAAAUGAUAUGGGACUAAGCUUUAAUAAUUGUCGCAUUGUGAAAAGAAAGCGUGGGAGAUAUACACUUUGUUUUUAAUGUAAACAAUGUUCAAUUGAAUCAAUAAUAAAAACUCGUUCAUUUGCAA